CUUGUGAUGUCAGAAGAGGCAGAUUUUCAACACGCUUUGUAACGGCUAAUCACAGUCACACCUGGUGGUAUAAUACGUCAGCUUAAUCCUUUAACAAGCUACGGUUAGGGUUUUGUAGCUUGAAUGUGAGUCUGCUGAAUCGUAAGGCGCUUAUCAUUUCCUUAAACCUGCUGAUAUUCUUAGCUGUGCCACUUUUGCAAGAUUUUUACUCUUCUUUUCGAUGGCUUAUAUCGUUUUGCACCACUGUCACGGCAAAAUGUUACAGGGAGCGCUAUACAUCCGUAUAUUGACAUUUUACAUAUAUCUUGUUUGUACACUCUUUUAAUGUGAUGUCUUACUUGAAUACAAAGUGCAACCAGUGUUUCCCACAGUUCUGUAUGGUCAAGGCGGCCGCCUUAAAGGCACCCAGGCCCCGCCUUGACUACCAACCCUACUCUCGUAGGGUAAGGAAACAUACUUCCACCAGGUACAAAGAAUAAAGAUAAAAAUAAUUGGAAUUUAAAUGGCAGCGGCCCUGCCUGCUGCUCGACCACCUUGACUAAGACAUUUCCUGGGGGAAACACUGGUGUAGCGUAUAUAGUACAGACAAGGGUCUUAUCACGGAUAACAAUCUUGUAAUCAACAAAAGCUGCAAUUUCGAUAAAAUACAAAACAAUGAUAAUAAAUAAUAAUAAAUAACAGGCAUAAAAAAUAGACAUGCUUUGAAAUAAACGUCUUCAAGGAGAGAAAUGUGGUAAAUGAGUGGGUACAAUCGUUAAAACUUAGGCCCCGUUAACAAUGAAAAAACAUCAACGGCUAGCUAGCGAAAUAGAGCUUUUGCUUCGACAUGACUGUAAACACUUCCCUUUUCUACUGUGAAGCUAAGAUUCAGUCAGAGACAACACGGUCAUGUCCACAAAGACACAGUCACUGCCCUUUAAGUACCUGAUAGCGAGGAAUAUGGUUUGCAACAAUACGUUUUUCGUCAAAUGGUGCAACCCUUGAGAGAUUUGAGUUUGGAUAAUAAUAGUCGUACCAAUUCUGCUUCAUGCAGACAUUUUACGCAAGAACGUCUGCGUGGGUGUGUGUUUGUAUGUCUAUAUAUUACAAUUGGUUAUCCAGCAUUCAAUGUAAUUCAUCCUUCCAGCAGUUUUCUACUGGUAGUUGCUGAAAGCAAACGGCAGUUUAAAAAAUGUAAAUGCAUAAAUAAA